rnacentral:rRNA from 1 species
UACGUAGGGUGCAAGCGUUGUCCGGAAUCAUUGGGCGUAAAGCGCGCGUAGGUGGCUUCGUAAGUCCGUUGUGAAAGUCAAAGGCUCAACCUUUGAAUGCCGAUGGAUACUGCGGAGCUAGAGUACGGAAGAGGCGAGUGGAAUUCCUGGUGUAGCGGUGGAAUGCGCAGAUAUCAGGAGGAAUACCAGCGGCGAAGGCGGCGCUCUGGGCCGGUACUGACGCUGAGGAGCGAAAGCGUGGGUAGCAAACAGG